rnacentral:misc_RNA from 1 species
AAGUCGUAACAAGGUUUCCGUAGGUGAACCUGCGGAAGGAUCAUUAUCGAACUGGGGAAGGCUGUCGCUGGCUCUCUCGAGCAUGUGCACGUCUUUUCGUCUCACACACCUGUGCACCCAUUGUAGGCCCUCGAAAGAGGAUCUACGUAUUUCAUACAACACCCACUUAGCAUGUCCAUAGAAUGUAAUCAUAGGAUCGUCCUACGGGGCGGUAUCUACGAAAUCAUACAACUUUCAGCAACGGAUCUCUUGGCUCUC